rnacentral:rRNA from 1 species
UACGUAGGGGGCAAGCGUUGUCCGGAAUCAUUGGGCGUAAAGCGCGUGUAGGCGGCUUGGUAAGUCCGUUCUGAAAGCCCGGGGCUCAACCCCGGGAGGCGGAUGGAUACUGCUGAGCUCGAGUCCGGAAGAGGCGAGUGGAAUUCCUGGUGUAGCGGUGAAAUGCGCAGAUAUCAGGAGGAACACCAAUGGCGAAGGCGGCGACCUGGGCCAAUACUGACGCUGAGGUGCGAAAGCGUGGGGAGCAAACAGG